rnacentral:rRNA from 1 species
CCUACGGGAGGCAGCAGUGAGGAAUAUUGGUCAAUGGGCGUAAGCCUGAACCAGCCAAGUCGCGUGAGGGAUGAAGGUUCUAUGGAUCGUAAACCUCUUUUAUAAGGGAAUAAAGUGCGGGACGUGUCCCGUUUUGUAUGUACCUUAUGAAUAAGGAUCGGCUAACUCCGUGCCAGCAGCCGCGGUAAUACGGAGGAUCCGUGCGUUAUCCGGAUUUAUUGGGUUUAAAGGGUGCGUAGGGGGAAUGUGAAGUCAGCGGUAAAAGCCAGGGGCUCAACCCCGGCGAGCCGUUGAAACUGGCUGUCGUGAGAGGGCGAGAGGUAUGCGGAAUGCGCAGUGUAGCGGUGAAAUGCGUAGAUAUUGCGCAGAACUCCGAUGGCGAAGGCAGCAUACCGGCGGCGAUCUGACGCUGAGGCACGAAAGCGUGGGUAUCGAACAGGAUUAGAUACCCGUGUAGUC